rnacentral:rRNA from 1 species
UACGGGGGGGGCAAGCGUUGUUCGGAAUUACUGGGCGUAAAGGGCGCGUAGGCGGCCUUCUAAGUCGGACGUGAAAUCCCUCGGCUUAACCGAGGAACUGCGUCCGAUACUGAAAGGCUUGAAUCCGGGAGAGGGAUGUGGAAUUCCAGGUGUAGCGGUGAAAUGCGUAGAUAUCUGGAGGAACACCGGUGGCGAAGGCGGUUCUCUGGGAAUGUCCUGACGCUGAGGAGCGAAAGUGUGGGGAGCGAACAGG